rnacentral:lncRNA from 1 species
UUGAAGCCUAUUGUUACGCUUGACUCUUGGAACGUGAAAGCUAUGGAAACCGUUACAAGUAGACUAGUAUAAAUAGUCACUUCCUUCCAACCCUAAAGAUCUCUCUUCUUCGUGUUUUUUUUCUUCCAGCCGUGCAAGCAUACUUUACAGCAUUACUUUUUACAGUUUUCUUUUACUUUUCUUUGCAAUUUCUAUUUUCUUUUCCAGUCAAUCUUUCAGCACUUAAUUAAUUUUU